rnacentral:rRNA from 1 species
GGAAUAUUGCGCAAUGGAGGGAACUCUGACGCAGUGACGCCGCGUAUAGGAAGAAGGUUUUCGGAUUGUAAACUAUUGUCGUUAGGGAAGAGAAAGGACAGUACCUAAGGAGGAAGCUCCGGCUAACUACGUGCCAGCAGCCGCGGUAAUACGUAGGGAGCGAGCGUUAUCCGGAUUUAUUGGGUGUAAAGGGUGCGUAGACGGGAGAGCAAGUUGGUUGUGAAAUCCCUCGGCUUAACUGAGGAACUGCAACCAAAACUGUUUUUCUUGAGUGCAGGAGAGGUAAGUGGAAUUCCUAGUGUAGCGGUGAAAUGCGUAGAUAUUAGGAGGAACACCAGUGGCGAAGGCGACUUACUGGACUGUAACUGACGUUGAGGCACGAAAGUGUGGGGAGCAAACA